GCGAGCCAGGGAUUGGCUCUGAGGAAGCCAUGGACCUUGUGUGCUCCCCAUGUGAGACUGCAGGUUUGCGUCUGUCUCCCAGUGGGCGUGUUCCCCGACCCUACCCAGACAUAACCAAAACCUUGCUUUCCUGCAUGCAGUCAUCAGAGAUGCCAGACCAGAGGAAAUACAGCAAUCAAAGCAGGCAAACCUGUUGCUAAAUGUGUUUUUGAGAGUAAAACUCCUUGGCCAAAUACUUCAAGACGCUGAUGAUUCUCAAAACUGUCAUCAUGAACCAUCUGGAGAAGGCCAGAUGUUUACAUUUCACGGAAAUGUGGUCCUGAAACCUUCAUUCUGAGCGCAGAGCUAACCACCUCCUCCUAUUCUUGGCAACACUAGUAAAUGAUACAUUACCACAGAGCAGGUGAAAUGCAGCAGAGACAUCUACGCUAGAACCUGAGGGUUGCUAUGUUGUAAGAAGCAUGCCCAGGUUUAUACUAGGACGCUCGGCUGGAGCAUUGGUUCACCGCUGUCCACUAUUUUAAAGACAUGCCAGAAAUAACAAUCCUAUUAUCUGAUUUCCAAGUAAGUCAGGAU
rnacentral:lncRNA from 1 species